UACGGGGGGGGCAAGCGUUGUUCGGAAUUACUGGGCGUAAAGGGCUCGUAGGUGGCCAACUAAGUCAGACGUGAAAUCCCUCAGCUUAACUGGGGAACUGCGUCUGAUACUGGAUGGCUUGAGAUUGGGAGAGGGAUGCGGAAUUCCAGGUGUAGCGGUGAAAUGCGUAGAUAUCUGGAGGAACACCGGUGGCGAAGGCGGCAUCCUGGACCAACACUGACACUGAGGAGCGAAAGCCAGGGGAGCAAACGG
rnacentral:rRNA from 1 species